CUGUAUAUACAUAUUAAAUAUACACUGUUCACACACAUAUAUUAUGUAAACAUUUUAUUUAUUUAUUUUUAUUUUGGAUACGAUUAAUCAUUUGACAGCUUUAAUUUAUAUAUUUUUAGAGCUGAGGGAUUUUUGUGCCAGAUAUCUUAUGACUGAUACUUUGAGAAAUGAAAAAUUAUGGGAUCCAAAACAACACUGACUUUUCUUAUAUGAAUAAAAGCGUGUAAACAAGCUUUGAAAUAUAAUUUGUGUUCUUCAAUAGAAAUACGUCAUAGAGGUGAUAGCAUAAUUUUCAUUUCAUAAUUCAUCAUUUUUAUAGGUUGAACUAUCACUUUAAAUAGUUCAGUGUAGCUCCUUUUUAGUCACAUUUAACUGCUUUUUUUUUUUAAAAAUGGCUUGACUGUACUUAAUUGCUUUGUAUCUUGCAUAGCUACUAUGGACUCAUGGUUUAGUUUCUAAGUAGGCACUCAAACACUAGUGUAUGUAGAAAAAUUGAACGAUCAUAUUUGUAUGCAUAGAAAUUUCAGUCUGUUGCUGUUUGCUUUGACUGUUUGCCUGUGUAUGUGUUUGUGCUUGUUUACCAACAGAUGUUUGUGCAUGUGUGUGUGUGUGUGUGUGUCAGUGUUAGCGUGUGGGAGCAUGUCAUCUGGGUACACUGAUACACAGACACACGCACACACAUGCCCUGUGUUGGCGCCCUGUGCUUGCAGUCGGAUGGCGUUUGAGCUGGGGCCAGGACAAAGCUGUGCACUGGUGGACUGUCACUCCAGCUUAAAUCUGCUCCCUGAUCAAAGCCCUCCCCCCUCAGAGCUGGUCAUCGCCCACCCCCCACCUCCCUUCGCCUCUCUCCUCUUCCCAACCUUGACUCUUGACUCCAAGCCAGACGCUGGGCCACCGCGCCACCACGGACAUGCGGCCUGGCACUUUGGAGAAAGAGGGCGAAAGAUCGUACUGCGAGAUAGACGGGAUGCUGAUGGUCCCGUUGAGACACGUUCUUUAUGAAGUCAUAAAAACGAACGCUACGGGCAGACUGUUCAUCUAUUAGAAUGACCUUCUUUUUGAUGAUCGGCCCUUGUCAGCGGUGAUUUUUACUGCCCAGGAGAUAGCACUUUCCCAUUCAAGUUUGGGCAAGUUUGGGUCUGUAUGGAGGUUACUGGGGUCAACAGUGCAGGGAUUGGUCUUUCAAUAAGGGAGCCAUGGCAACAACACACAGCAUGUUAGCUGCCAGGUAUCGACCUCAAUAACUGGUGGUGCACCUUUAAAAGCUGCUGGAGCCCUGGCCCAGGAGCGGCUUAGAUCAAAGGAGCAGUCCAUCAAUAUCAUCUUGACUGUCAGCCCACAGAGCACCGAUAUACUCAGGUGGACUAAAGAAAUGAAGAAAGAAUGAGUGACAAAUGGGAAACGGAUCAAAGAAUGCUGUUUUUACAUAAUAGUGAAAGACAUUGCAUUAGUUUUUUUCUUAAUCCAAGUUAUCCAAUUUCAAGUUAUUUUUGGGUAAAUCAUAAAGGUCAGUUCAAACAAAACAGUCAAGACUGGAUUUAAAGCUCUUGUUGUUUAAUCACUAGCAUGACCUGCAACCCACCCAGAACAUAGGUGUUACACGAAUCGGUAAAGAUCUCAGGCGGACCACUGCUUCAGGUAUCGACCAAAUGCUGCUGUUCACAUCGAUAACCACUGCAGUCCAGCCGAGUGUCUCUGGAGCUGCACAAACGAGGCAGAUAAAGAACCGCUUUGCUCAUCUAAGCUUGUUUCCUUCGACACACAGCAUUUCCCAUGCAUUACUACUGCUUCUCUGGAACAAAGUUCUUGCAUUAUGGUUUAAGGUGAAAAAUUGAUAUUUCUAAGGUGUCUGUUACGAAGUUGAGCUGUUUUUUUCAAACCAUAUUAAGUUAGGCUGACUCGUUACAUUGCUGCAAGACAGGCUGAUGCAAACCUGUAAAUAAAUACUUCAGCACACCCUGAUUUAGCAAAAUAAGGCAUGUUCUAAGGUCAACAUGUUUUGCUGAUACUGGAAUAAAAUCCUGUAAAAUGUUUUAACCCAAUAUAUUUACCCAUAACCCAAACCCCUACGCUUAAACCAGGGGUGCUUAUUGCUGCCCCUGGAAGGCAAUUUUUUUAGCUCUAACCCAGUUAAAGAUCUAGCAAUCAAGGUUUUAAAGAUUUUUAGAAAUUCCCAGACUGGUGUGUUGUUGUAGACUGGUGCCCUCCAGGUGCAGCGACAUUACUGGUGUAUAGCGUAACCAUAAAAACUAAUUAAUUGUCAUGAAUGUUGUUCAAUCAACAUGCCAUGCUACUUUAAAAUUGUUAGGUAGAAUUGAAAAGGUUAAGAAAGUUACCAUUUCAAAACCAGACCAUGUCAGAUGCCUUGCGGUUUUAAUUAGUGGGUGAUAUGAGCUAGAAUUAAUAUCACAGUAUUUUCCACUGUCCAAACGCUAUCGCUAUAUUAUAUCGCGAUAUGAUAGAAAAAAAUUGGAAUCACAUUUUAGUUAAAUUGCAGGCAAAAUAUGUAUUUUAACCUUACAUAACCAAGAAAACCCAUAUGAUUUCAAGA